rnacentral:snoRNA from 1 species
GUUGCGCGAUGAUGAUAACACAUUCCUCGUACCGAAGCCUGCGGGCAUGAGGACAAAAACAAUCUACCCAUAGAAUAUGAGCGCA